rfam:Myotis davidii contig30526, whole genome shotgun sequence.
GGCAGUUUUUGGCUGAUGCACCCUGCAAUCGGGCUCCCUCCUUUCUGGUUCUGGGUGCAUCACCCAAGAACCGCA